CAUGCAAGUCGAACGCGAAAGGGGCUUCGGCCCUGAGUAGAGUGGCGAACGGGUGAGUAACACGUGGGUGACCUACCUUCGAAUGGGGGAUAACGUUCCGAAAGGGACGCUAAUACCGCAUAACAUCCUGCCUUUGAACAGGUGGAGAUCAAAGCUGGGGAUCGCAAGACCUGGCGUUUGAAGAGGGGCCCGCGUCCGAUUAGCUAGUUGGUGAGGUAAUGGCUCACCAAGGCAACGAUCGGUAGCCGGCCUGAGAGGGCGGACGGCCACACUGGGACUGAGACACGGCCCAGACUCCUACGGGAGGCAGCAGUGGGGAAUCUUCCGCAAUGGACGAAAGUCUGACGGAGCAACGCCGCGUGAACGAUGAAGGCCUUCGGGUCGUAAAGUUCUGUUGUUAGGGAAGAACAAGUACCAGAGUAACUGCUGGUACCUUGACGGUACCUAACCAGAAAGCCACGGCUAACUACGUGCCAGCAGCCGCGGUAAUACGUAGGUGGCAAGCGUUGUCCGGAAUUAUUGGGCGUAAAGCGUACGCAGGCGGUUUCUUAAGUCUGAUGUGAAAGCCCACGGCUCAACCGUGGAGGGUCAUUGGAAACUGGGGAACUUGAGUGCAGAAGAGGAGAGCGGAAUUCCACGUGUAGCGGUGAAAUGCGUAGAGAUGUGGAGGAACACCAGU
rnacentral:rRNA from 1 species